GAUCUUUUGACCUUGUGAUCCACCCAUCUCGGCCUCCCAAAGUGCUGGGAUUACAGGCGUGAGCCACCGCUCCUGGUCAUUUUUGUAUUUUUAGUAGAAAGGAGAUUUCAUCAUGUUGGCCUGACUGGUCUGGAAUACCCAGCAUCAAUUGAUCGGUCAGCCUCGGCCUCACAAAGUGCAGGGAUUACAGGCGUGAGUCACCUGCUCGGCCAUGACCUGUAGCUUUCUUUUUUUGUUUUGCCCUUGUCUGGUUUUGGUAUUAGGGCAUUGUUGGAUUCAGAGAAUGAUUUAGGAAGUAUUGCUUCCUCAUAAAUUUGUUUGAACAGUUUGAGUAGAAUUGGUAUUAGUUCUUCUUUAAUUGUUCAGUAAAAUUCAGCAAUGAAGUCACCGGGUUCUGGGAUUUAUUUUUUUAUUUUUAUUUUAUUUUUGGGGAGACAUUUUACUACUUUUUCUAUCUGAUAUGGUUUGGCUGUGUCCGCACCCAAAUGUCAACGUGAAUUUUAUCUCCCAGAAUUCCCACAUCUCGUGGGAGGGACCCAAGGGGAGGUUAUGGAAUCAUGGUGGCUUGUCUUAAUAAGUCUCACAAGAUCUGAUGGGUUUAUCAAGGGUUUCUGCAUUUGCUUCUUUCUCAUUUUCUCUUGCUGUCUCCAUGUAAGAAGUGCCUUUUUGCUCCCGCCAUGAUUCUGAGGCUUCCCCAGGCAUGUGGAACUGUAAGUCCGUCCAAUUAAGCCUCUUUUUCUUUCCAGUCUCAAGAAUGUCUUUAUCAGCAGCAUGAAAAUGAACUAAUACACUCUCUGAUUAAUUUUUAUUGGUUUGUUCCGGUUUUCUAUUUCUUCAAGAUUUAAUCUUGAUGAUGAAGCAGUUUUCUUCGAAGGCAGCAUAUAGUUUGGUCUUGUUUCUUUAUUCAUUCAGCCACUCUAUAACUUUUUCUUGGUGAAUUCAAUACAUUUACAUUCAAAGUUCUUAUUGAUAGGUAAGGAUUUACCAAUGCCAUUAUUUACUUGUUGUCUGGUUGUAUUGAAUCACCUUUCUUUCUUUCUUCCUCUAUUACUGCCUUUUUUUUUUUUUUUUUUUGGUUAAGAGAUUUUCUCUGAAACUAUGUUUUAAUUCAGUGCUUUUUUUUGGUAUAUUUAUGAUAUGUUUUUGCUUUGUGGUUAUUGCGAGACUUAGAAAAACAUGUUAAUGGUAUAACAAGUUAUUUAAACAAAUGACAACUUUUCUUUGACUAUAAAGAAAAACUAGAAAUAAACAACGACAAAAAAAAAAUUUAAUUUUGCAUUUCAGCUCCACCCCCAACCCCUGCUCCUUUUGGCCUAUUUUUUGGCAUCAAUUCAUGUAAUCUUAUAUUGCCUAUCUCUUAACAGAUUGAUGUCGAUAUUAUUGAUUUUGAUAGAUUUGCCUUUUAGUCUUCGUAAUAAAAUUAUGAGUGGGUUACACACAUAAUUAUAGUGUUAGAAUAUUUUGAGGUUUUUUUCAGUAUUUACUUUUACCACUAGGUUUUAGACCUUCAAAUGGUUUAUAUUUGCAUAUUAGGUUUUUUUUUAAUUUUUUUUUUUUUUUUUUGCUUUUUUUCAGAUUGAAUAACUCUGCAGCAUUUUUUAAAAGAUGGGUCUGGUGGUAAAGAAUUCCUUCAGCUUUCGUUUGGAAAAGACUUUAUCUCUCCUUCAUGUUUGAAAGAUAGUUUUUCAAGACACUAAAUUCAUGUUUGGCAGUCUUGUUUUUUAGCAUGUUGAACAUGCUAUCCUAUUCCAUCCUUAUGGUGGAAUGUUACUUAUUAAGAAGCUUUUUUUCCAGACAAAUUGGAGCCCCUUUAUAUACGUGCUUCUUGUCUGUUGCUGCUUUUAGAAUCCUCUCUUUUCUCUUGACAUUUGAGAGUUUGAUUAUUACAUUGCUUCAUGUAGUUUUAUUUGUGUUUAAUCCGGCAAUCUCUUACCUUUCUAUGUCUGGAUAUUUACAUCUUUUUCAAAUUUUGUAACAUUUUCUGUUAUUACUCUUUGAAUACAAUUUUUAUUCCUUGCUCUUCCUCAGCUACAUUUUGAAUACUAAUAAUUCUUUUUUUUUUCUUUUCUUUUUUUUUUUUUUUUGAGAUGGAGUCUUGCUCUGUCACCCAGGCUGGAGUGCAGUGGCGCGAUCUUGGCUCACUGCAACUUCCACCUCCCAAGUUCAAGCCAUUUUCCUGCUUCGGCCUCCCAAGUAGCUGGGAUUACAGGUGUGUGCCACCACACACAGCUUAUUUUUGUAUUUUUAGUAGAGACAGGAUUUUGUUAUGUUGGUCAGGUUCAUCUCGAACUCCUGACCUUGUGAUCCGCCUGCCUCGGCCUCCCAAAGUGCUGGCAUUACAGGCGUGAGCCACCGUGACCAGCCAAAUCCUAAUAAUUCUUAAAUUUUUUCUUUUGGGGUAAUUAUCUAUAUCCUGCAUGUGUUCUUUAUUCUUUUUCAUUUGCUUUUCUUCUCUGUGUAUUUUAUAGUAGCCUGUCCUCAAGCUCAGUAAGACUUUCCUCUGAUUCAUCCAUUUUGCUGUUGAAAGCCUGUAAUAAAAUUUUCAGUAUAGCAAAUAUACUUUUUACUUCCAAGAUUUCUGUUUUAUAUUUUAAAUUAUUUCAAUCUUCGUUACAUUUCUCUGAUAAAUUUCUGUUGCUUUCCUUUUUUAUUUUGUGGAUUAUUGAGUUUCCUUAAAUAUGCUAUUUUGAACUUUUGAUCAGACAGCUUGCCUUUCAUAUUCCCAUUACAAUAAUUCUCCGUCUCCUCGUUUGUCUGGGGAGGUUUGGGUUUUAUAGUUCUCUGUUUUAUAUUGUUAUUCUGCGUUUACUUCUAUGUCUUCACAUUUGAAGGAUUAGUUAUUUAUUCCAGUUUUCUCUGGCUUGUUUCGAUUUUUGGAUAUGUUUGUAUAUAGAUUUAUUUGCAAUAUACCUGUUGAAUGUAUUUUUCCAAGAUCACUGCCGCCUCUUCAGCACUAGAUGGCACCUUAACCCUGCGUUUACCUCAGCUCUAGCAAAGGUAAGAGCAUUGCCUAGCCUGAAUGGUAGAAGUCCCCCAGGGAAUAUUCCGGCAGUGUGGGAAAACUGGCUAGGAGUUUGUGCUUAUAGGACUUGUGAAACUUACUUUUUUUUUUUUUUUUUUUUUUUUUUUGAGAGGGAGUUUCGCUCUUGUCACCCAGGCUGUAAUGCGGGAGUGCAGUGGCGCCAUCUCGGCUCACUGCAACCUCCACCUCCUGGGUUCACGUAAUUCUCCUGCCUCAACCUCUCCAGUAGCUGGGAUUACAGGCACACGCCACCAAACCCGGCUAAUUUUUGUAUUUUUAGUAGAGACAGGGUUUCAUCUUGUUGGCCAGGCUGGUCUUGAAUUCCUGACCUCAAGUGAUCUGCCUGCCUCAGCCUCCCAAAGUGUUGGGAUUACAGACGUGAGCCACUGAGCCCGGCCUGAAACUCAUCUCCUAUAGCUUGGUGCUGCUAGACAGCCACUCUGUUUUAACUUCUUCUUUGGCCAAAACACAGAGGAAAGUUUUCCUGCCUGGAGAUACUAGUCCUACCUUCUCCCCUGUAUCUAGCUGUCUUCAAGAAGUUUUCUCCCUUCAGGCCCUCACAAUAAUUCCUGUGUGUUAAGGCAGGGAUAGAUUUUCUAUCAGGGAAUAAAAGAUGUAGAAGCUGGUGUCUACCUGGAUCUACGUUUUCUGAUGUAGUUAUCUGAUGAGUUGGGAGUGGGAGGACAUUCUCCAAGCUUGGUGCCUGGCAGACUGGGGAAAGAAUGUUGCAGAUAUGGAAGUCUGAUUCUCUUACCAUAUGCUCCUAGUUUUUUCAUUUCUCUGUGUUCCAGGGAACUCUUUUCCUCAUAUUUAAGUUCUGGAAUAUUGCUGGUGAUAAUUUUGGCAAUGUAUAUUUGGUUUUGAUUUUCUGUAGUUGGGGUGGUGGGUAGUAAAGCCAGCUAGCUUCUACUUUGCCAUUUUGGCUUAUUAUAGGUCUUUUUAGAUUUUCUGUUUAUGAUGAGUAAAUUUUGGUAGCUUGUAUUUCUAGAAAUAUGUGCAUUGCAUUGAAGUCAUUAAUAAAAGUUGUGUAACUCUCCCUUGUAGUCCUUGUUUAUAUAUUUUUGGUGCUGCUGG
rnacentral:lncRNA from 1 species